GUAGAUGUAACUCCUAUAAGAAAAAAGGGAGCCAAGAAAGGUCAGGGCAUGGUUGAAAUAGUAGACAUAAAAUGCAGAAAUCCCAUCGCACACCGUCUAAAGAAACUCAGCUUCUCGAAACUACCUGACAGUAAUGCCUAAGAACACACACUUGGUAGGAGCCUCUUGCUUCCUCCUCUCUUGUUUCUCCUGGGAAUGGCGAUCACUGAAUCAAGCUUUGGUUUGAAGAACUCCCCUGUCAAAGGGAGUUUUUUGUGGCAUGGUUUCUUCAAGUUGCUUGCAUCGCCUAAAUUAAGGCGGCUGAAGUGGUCUAGUUCUUGCAUGAUGAGAGAUCCAACGGUACCUCUAGUCCCUAUCGCCACCGGAUCAGAUUUUGCUGCUUCUGUUUUUUCAGGUGCAGGGCCAAGACUAGGCGGUGUCAAGGUCGCCUUUUGUGGGAGAUGCAUCGUUGGAGACAAGGCCCCGUUGGAGGAAGGGCACUUGCUUAGGAUGUGAGUACCUUUAUCUCGAUCUAACGGAUGCUACAAGUGAAGGUUGAUUUUCCAGAAGGAAGGGCCGUUUCUAGAUCUUCCUCACUCAGCGCAGUCGCCACCACCUCAACCUUCGGGUCUGACAACUCGUGACUGCUGGAGCAACAGCACAUGCGGCGGACAACGAAAAGGAGCGAUGAUGCUCUCCCAGCGCCUGAAAGCGAUGUCGUUGUAUGUGUAUAAAAACGACGCCGUUUUAUGCAAUGCCGUCGAUUUGCCAAGUCAUGCUGGAGGCGUCCACGUAGGAUAAGUUUUUGCCGGAAAACUAUCGGGUCGGGUCGGGUCGAAUGAGAAAUUUACACAAUCCAGUAUAGUUCAUGACUUUUCAUGCAACAUUUAAAGUUCAAGGGAAAAACUAAACUAUUGUGAAAGUUCAUGA